rnacentral:misc_RNA from 1 species
GCUCAGUACUGAUGUUCUGUUUGUUAACAUUGCGGACACAAGUUGUUGGUAUUUGGGACUUUUCCUUCCGAAUUUGUCCAAAAGGGACUUUUCUUGAUGCCUUCUCCAAUUUGUUCAGAGACUCUUUGUUGGCUUUAGAAACAAUUCCUUCGUCUGCAACUCUUGAUGCUGCUGUACAGGAAUCAUCUGAGCAGCCAGAUUUACCGAAGAAAGAUUUGAGAUAAGCCCUGGAAGCCUUCAACUUUGAACUAAGUGAGGAUUGCUUGAUUUGCUUAAGCUUUUUGGUCCAAGACUUCUUUCUGAUUUCACCAACGUAAUCACUUUCUUCAUUUGAGUACUCAAAAAAGAAAUCUCCAGGAUUUAGCUCUCGACUAACUCGACAAGAUUCAGAAGGUGAGAUAUUGCAGGAUUCAAAUGGGGUACUGGUUGUAGUUGGUGUUGUUGCAGUGGUCAUUAAUUGGGGGCUAA